rnacentral:rRNA from 1 species
CAAGUCGAGCGAUGAGGCUCCUUCGGGGGUACAUCAGCGGCAGACGGGUGAGUAACACGUAGGUGACCUACCCUCGAGACGGGGAUAACGGCUGGAAACAGUCGCUAAUACCCGAUAGACUUACCAGGUCAAAGCGGUAAGAAAAGCUACGGUGCUUGAGGAGGGGCCUGCGGCCCAUCAGCUAGUUGGUAGGGUAACGGCCUACCAAGGCGAAGACGGGUAGGGGGUGUGAGAGCACGAGCCCCCACAAUGGGACUGCGACACGGCCCAUACUCCUACGGGAGGCAGCAGCAGGGAAUAUUGCACAAUGGACGGAAGUCUGAUGCAGCGACGCCGCGUGAGUGAAGACGGCCUUCGGGUUGUAAAGCUCUUUUACGGGGGACGAGGAAGGACGGUACCCUGGGAAGAAGUGUCGGCUAACUACGUGCCAGCAGCCGCGGUAAGACGUAGGACACAAGCGUUAUCCGGAGUUACUGGGCGUAAAGCGCCUGCAGGCGGCCUGGUAAGUUGGACGUGAAAGCCCCGUGCUUAACGCGGGGAGGUCGGACAAUACUGCCAAGCUAGAGUGCGUCAGAGGGGAGUGGAAUUUCCGGAGUAGCGGUAAAAUGCGCAGAUAUCGGAAGGAACACCAGUGGCGAAAGCGACUCCCUGGGGCGCGACUGACGCUAAGAGGCGAAAGCUAGGGGAGCGAACAGGAUUAGAGACCCUGGUAGUCCCUUAGCCCUAACCGAUGGAUGCUAGGUGUGGGACCGUAAAGUUCCGUGCCGGAGCCAACGCGAUAAGCA